rnacentral:lncRNA from 1 species
GGACAGUGUUAGAACAUCACAGGGAGAAUUAUGCCCCUCCGUUGGGUCUCUCAGCGAUUGUGGAUAGCAGUUCAAACUCAAAACCAUACCCUACUCCCCAACUCCAUGAUCAUGUUCAUUCGACCACAGUGAAGAGGCAUCAGGCUGCAGCACUUGGUGUCAGGCCAUACAGAGGUUGACCACACCAGGAGAGAAGAACCAACGCCUUUGGAAACCAACGUCAUGUCUGACAGGUCCACUGUCUCCAGGUUGCUGACCAUCUACUACUGUCUGCCUCCAUGGACAAGACUGUCAAGGCCUCUUUCUAGAGCACACAAGAAGGACCACCGCGACACCUUCCUGUUUAAGUGAGCACAGCAAAAGGACAGCAGAUCGUGAAGGUGGGAAACCAGUUCAAGGUGAUGUGCUUGGCUGUGUAGCCCAACGACCCUGAAGUGUUCCUGUCUGGGGGUUACAGUGCAGAAGUCAAGGCUUGGGAUGCCCAUACCUGCAAG